rnacentral:misc_RNA from 1 species
GUUCAUGAUGAAUAAAACGAUUACCCACUAAAUAUGAAAUUUUGUUAUAUGGGUUUUGGUAUUGAGCUGGGACUUAUUGAUUAUACUCCCACUAAGCUGUGAUUGUGUGUGCGCGCGCGCGCGCGUUUAUUGCACUAUGAAGAGGGAAAAAAAAAUCAUGAUAGACUUUCUGUGAAUUGAAUUUGAAGAAUUGAUGAUAUUUUUUAACUUGGCAUAUAAAUUUUUGUGCUUGGAAGAUUGCUUCCAUUGUUGAAGGAAGUGGAAUUGAAAGGAGAAAUGAGAGUUAAAAUUUCAGUUCGAAUGGCUUGAAAGGCAUUUCUUUUCACUGACUUUACAAUGUGUUUGGAUAGAGUGAGGGGAGGCUUUAUAAAGUAAGAGAAGGAAAGCUAAGGAAAGGUAAGUAAGGCAGCAAAACCUCCAAACCUACAAAUUGAAAAAUUUAGUGGGAUGAAAAAGUGAGGGUGUUGGAGGUUUUGAGACCUCUGAAAACCUUACCUCUUCCUCAACAUUUUUCUUUAAAAAUACUUCCCUUACCUCCAAAUACUUCUUCCCAAACAAGCUGUUAGGUGGCUGUUUUGUGCUACGGCGAUUUAUCUGCAACUGUUCAAAGGGCAGGUGGCGCAAUUGUUGAAAUAAACAUAUUUAUUUGGAAUAGCCUGUGGACUCUUCCUGGUUCUUAAUUUUGAGAGUUGGACAUUGGUUUUGGUUUAAUAUUUUAGUCAUGAUUCUGCUAGGCCAUUCCCUUGUUUUUAAUGUUUUAGUCAUAAAUCUACUUUGCUUGACUUCAUCCCUUCACUUCAUUUGAGUGGCUCUCAUGAUAACUGUUAAUAGGUUAUCAAUGAAUUGUUUUCUGUUUUCAGAGAACAUGACAACGGCAUGAAAUUGUUGUGCCUUGUUCUAUCUGCUUGGUUUGAAGAACCUAACAAUAUGUAAAUUGUUUGGCCUUUUUACAUCUCUAUCCAGACUGUGUGAGAGCUGAACCUGUA